UGUGGUGUUCACAUAGCUUCCGUGUCCCAGUUUGUAGUUCUCUGCUAUUCCUUAAUAAACGCAUUUUUGCUGGUUAAAGAACCGGAAGUUUUAUUUUUAAGGUUAUUAGUCUCCAAGAGAAAGUAUAAAUUUUUAGCGACUGGCAUAGCCUGAGCAGACAACUAGCGAGAACAAACGGCGGCUAGAGCACGGAGUGGGUGUUGAAGCCUCUGUCACCCCCUCCGUAGCACCAGGCACCACCUCAGCUGCUGAUCCAUGGGGAAGUCUUUUCUAGGAUAUUUGGAGGAAGAUACUACAUUUUCUUUUCAAAGACUGAGGAAACGAUAUCCAUGAGGUUCAACAGCUUCUCAAGCUCUCACAGCUGGCUUUGAUGCGCACAUCCCGAAAGGUCUCAGCCUUGAAAAUAAAGUGGAAACAAGAGGCAGAAGCUGUGUGGCGAGCCAGUCAUGGUGGGGAGAUAGGACAGUGCUCAGGCAUGGGUUCCCAGUCUGGUGAAGUCCUGAGGUGCCGUUCAGGAGACAUCUGUGCUGUGAAAGUGAACACUGCUGGGGAGGUCGUUGCAUGAAACAUGGUCACUGUUGCAUCCUUUUGCUCCAGCAGAGUCGAGCCCACCUGUGUCUUCAAUCUUUGCGUUGACAGCUACAUUGUUCCACUCUCCAAAAGACGAAGGACCUCUCAGAUUGUGCUCCUUACCUCAUAAUGAGAAUUAGCAGCAGGCCUGGAUGGAUUCAUAAGCAAUGUGAGCCUGCUCUCCUGCAAAUGUCUUUAAUAAUAGAUGAUGAGAAAGGCAGA